UGCCAGCCGCCGCGGUAAUACGAGUACCCCGAGCGUUAUCCGGAAUUAUUGGGCGUAAAGGGUCCGUAGGUGGCCAUAUUAGUCGGUUGUUAAAAAUCCAAGCUCAACUUGGGGAGGGCAAUCGAAACGGUAUGGCUUGAGUAUGCGAGGGGUCUGUAGAACUCAUGGUGUAGGGGUGAAAUCCGUUGAUAUCAUGGGGAAUACCAAAAGCGAAGGCAGCAGACUGGCGCAUUACUGACACUAAGGGACGAAACCCUGGGUAGCGAAUGGGAUUAGAUA
rnacentral:rRNA from 1 species